UGGGGAAUUUUGGACAAUGGGCGAAAGCCUGAUCCAGCCAUGCCGCGUGCAGGAUGAAGGCCUUCGGGUUGUAAACUGCUUUUGUACGGAACGAAAAGACUCUGGUUAAUACCUGGGGUCCAUGACGGUACCGUAAGAAUAAGCACCGGCUAACUACGUGCCAGCAGCCGCGGUAAUACGUAGGGUGCAAGCGUUAAUCGGAAUUACUGGGCGUAAAGCGUGCGCAGGCGGUUAUAUAAGACAGAUGUGAAAUCCCCGGGCUCAACCUGGGAACUGCAUUUGUGACUGUAUAGCUAGAGUACGGCAGAGGGGGAUGGAAUUCCGCGUGUAGCAGUGAAAUGCGUAGAUAUGCGGAGGAACACCGAUGGCGAAGGCAAUCCCCUGGGCCUGUACUGACGCUCAUGCACGAAAAGCGUGGGGGAGCAAACAGGAUUAGAUACCCUGGUAGUCCACGCCCUAAAACGAUGUCAACUGGUUGUUGGGGUCUUUCACUGACUCAGUAACGAAGCUAACGCGUGAAGUUGACCGCCUGGGGAGUACGGCCGCAAGGUUGAAACUCAAAUGAAUUGACGGGGGUCAUAGCUG
rnacentral:rRNA from 1 species